UAAACAAGCGUAAAUAAAUCGCAAAGUACAAUAUAAGAUUAAUACAAUAAGAAUACUUUGUUGUGGUGGAUUCGGCGCGCAGAAAGCCAAACGAGGACGACUCCAGUGUAAUAAAACGCCACUUACCGGUUGGAAAGCUCCUCAUUCCCACUGUCCACCAUCACUGGAUUGAUGGAGGCAGACUUCAGAUAAUGACAGGCGACUCAAUGAGUAAAGGUUUAAUUGCUUCCAGGUCAUGGCUUCUAUGUGCAUUUAAGGCAUGCCGAAUUGAAAAGUAUCUCCUAAUUAUAUGUAAAUAUGCGCACAUUGGACUCUGUCUGGAAUAUUCCCUUCGUAGCUGUCAAAUAAACUUUAAAUUGUCCGAGUUUUAAAUGGAGUUCGUCCGGCGUGAGGGACAGCCGCCUUACAGGCCCAGAGGGGAGCUGCACGCCAGAGACAAGCACCAACUGAGAGAGGGUUUUGCUAAGCCAGCCUGGAAGCCACAGAGGAUGAACAUGAGCCAUGACUGAGACAAACACAUGUCACACAAAGACAGAGCUGGUCGGGGUCACAUUUCUGGCUGGCGCAUUUCUGGUCUGGGUCAGAAAUGCUCUUCUUCCUGUUCUCAGAUGUGACCCCGGGGCUCAGGAAGCUCUUUGCAGCUGUACCACCUUCCCAACUGUGACAGCAGCUCUGAAUGGCAGGAUGUCCUGCUUUGGGUUCCCCUGAGCGGCCCUGUCAGAGGCCAGGCAACGCAGCAAGGUUCA